rnacentral:rRNA from 1 species
UCGAGAAUCUUUCACAAUGGGGGAAACCCUGAUGGAGCGACGCCGCGUGGAGGCUAAGGUCUUCGGAUUGUAAACUCCUGUCAUGCGAGAGCAAUGUGCCUGUGUUAAUAGCAUGGGUAAGUGAUAGUAUCGCAAGAGGAAGAGACGGCUAACUCUGUGCCAGCAGCCGCGGUAAUACAGAGGUCUCAAGCGUUGUUCGGAAUCACUGGGCGUAAAGGGUGUGUAGGCUGCGAAUUAAGUCAGAUGUGAAAACUUUGGGCUCAACCCAAAGCAUGCAUCCGAUACUGGUUUGCUAGAGUAACUCAGAGGGACAUGGAAUUCACGGUGUAGCAGUGAAAUGCGUAGAUAUCGUGAAGAACACCAACGGCGAAGGCAAUGUCCUGGGGGUUUACUGACGCUG